rnacentral:lncRNA from 1 species
GGUAACAUAACAUGAUGGAGUAGUUUAGGAGGAAGAGAUAUCAGAGUUAUAAGCACUUGGUGGUGGGGUAGAACUAGAAAAAGCAGAGCCACCAGAGUUGUUAUUACCAAUAUUUUCAGUGACUUUUCCACCCUUUGAUGUCACAAACUUAACAAAGCUGCUAAAUAUUUGAGCUUUGAUUUGUCCUCUUUUGGGGGGAAGGUUUGCUUUCUCCUUAUGAGGUGUGGAAGAAGAAGUUGUUGCCAUUUUCAAAUUUGUUUUUAUCUGAAAUCAAUAAUGAAAUAGACAAGGAGCAAAUAUAUAAUGAUUAAUGAGUAUAAAUUUAAACAGAAUUUUGGGAUAAGGAAAUACCAAAAUUUAAGAUUACUUAUAAACAGGAGUAAAAUUAUUUGAAAAUUAAAGGCCUCGGUGCCCAAGAAAAAUUUAGGAGAGGUUGUAGAUGGAGGGAAAAGAGAAAUGGGACAUGGUUUUUUUGUUU